UUUCACAGGUGUACCUAAUGACCUGUCCCGCCGUUGAGGCCUGACGUCACGUGCGACGUCCGAGCCAACGAGCGCCUUUUAAUCGCCGUAAUUCGCCGAUGGCCGAACCAGAUGUCGGACAGAGCGGCCGACCGCUGCUUUCUCGCACCCCGUGAAAGGAAACAAAUUAAAAUCCACCCAAAUUUGUCUCGGGGAACGUCGCCAGGCUCACCCAACACGACAUUUCGAGCCGUAAAAGCGUCGAGCUCGGAGGCCACCUUGUCGUUUUUUACACAGUGUCCAUUGUGUAACAGCUGUAAAACACGCUCCAAAUUAUUAACUCCACAUGCCUGCGCCGCUGAUGAACUGGAAUCCCAGAACAACCUUUGGAUUUUGGCCAAUAACCUUGGAGGGAGACGCUGAUUGAGAACAGGACUGCGAAUCCGGGCAAACCGCACCUAAAAAAAUGUUUGAAAGGGACGACGAAAAUGAUGAGCUCGACGGGAUGGGAAUGCCGAGCCGGGCCAAAGAAAGCAACAAAUUGCGCCACCUGCACUUUAUGGAGGAACAAGCGAGAUGAUUUGUUGAGGGGCCCUGGGGAGCCAGCGAGCGCGCCUUGAAAACAGGUGGCGCAACAUCACACCGCAGCGUGCCUUCGGGGAAUAUUUGUAGACGUGACGGAAACGCAGCAAAAACAAAACACAGACGCAAAACGCGAGCGAAGCGUUGAGAAAUGAUGUAAUCAAGCCGUCCUUCCUACCUAGCAGCCCUCCAUCCAUCCUCUCUAAAGGCCUGGCGGUCCCUUUGGCCUCGCUCUGGAUCAAGUCCCCCACAAGGCCCCCCCUGACCCCGUUAGAGGCGCAUGAUGGGCGGCCCUGUCACUUCAAAUGGCUGCCCGGGUCCGGCGCGAGCCUCACCCCUCACUACAUUUUGUCCAGCACAACGCAUAAAGUUGACUCGCCGAUGGCGUACAAGACAUCGCAAUCCAUCAAAGUGUGUGCGUUCUACUUGACUGCCAAGCGUGACUACUUUUGCCACCUCUGGUGUUCGGAGGCAUCCGGCGAAGCGGCAAAGUUUCCCAAUAACGUUUGCCGUUUGCGUGCGGCUCGUGGGAACGGGAAAAAGGCUGCAAAUACCAUCUCGGA